rnacentral:sRNA from 1 species
GCCGGGCACAGUGGCACGUGCCUGGAAUCCCAGCAGCUCAGGAGGCUGAGGCAGGGGGAUCGAUCUCAAGUUCAAAGCCAGCCUCAGCAACUUAGCAAGGCCCCAAGCAACUCAGUGAGACCCUGUCUCUA